rnacentral:sRNA from 1 species
CCUCCCAGGAGGGUUGCCCAGGGCACCCACCAUCGUGCUGGUUGGCAGCCUUGCCUCCACUGCGGCCAUCACCUCCAGGAUGCUGGGCUGGACCACGUGGGCCAGGUGGUGACCAGAAGAUGGAGGACUGGCAGGAUCCCCUGGAGAGCCCCAUCCUUGCCUUGCCGCUCUGCAGGAGCACCCGCCGUCUGAGUGAAGAGGAGUUUGGGGGGUUCAGGAUAGGGAAUGGGGAGGUCAGAGGACGCAAAGCAGCAGCCAUGUAGAAUGAACCGUCCAGAGAGCCAAGCACGGCAGAGGACUGCAGGCCAUCAGCGUGCACUGUUCGUAUUUGGAGUUCAUGCAAAACGAGUGUGUUUUAGCUGCUCUUGCCA